rnacentral:rRNA from 1 species
GAUGAACGCUGGCGGCGUGCCUAAUACAUGCAAGUCGAGCGAACAGACGAGGAGCUUGCUCCUCUGACGUUAGCGGCGGACGGGUGAGUAACACGUGGAUAACCUACCUAUAAGACUGGGAUAACUUCGGGAAACCGGAGCUAAUCCCGGAUAAUAUAUUGAACCGCAUGGUUCAAUAGUGAAAGACGGUUUUGCUGUCACUUAUCGAUGGAUCCGCGCCGCAUUAGCUAGUUGGUAAGGUAACGGCUUACCAAGGCAACGAUGCGUAGCCGACCUGAGAGGGUGAUCGGCCACACUGGAACUGAGACACGGUCCAGACUCCUACGGGAGGCAGCAGUAGGGAAUCUUCCGCAAUGGGCGAAAGCUUGACGGAGCAACGCCGCGUGAGUGAUGAAGGUCUUCGGAUCGUAAAACUCUGUUAUUAGGGAAGAACAAAUGUGUAAGUAACUAUGCACGUCUUGACGGUACCUAAUCAGAAAGCCACGGCUAACUACGUG